rnacentral:rRNA from 1 species
UACGGAGGGGGCUAGCGUUGUUCGGAAUUACUGGGCGUAAAGCGCACGUAGGCGGCUUUGUAAGUUAGAGGUGAAAGCCCAGGGCUUAACCCUGGAAUUGCCUUUAAGACUGCAUCGCUAGAAUUGUGGAGAGGUAAGUGGAAUUCCGAGUGUAGAGGUGAAAUUCGUAGAUAUUCGGAAGAACACCAGUGGCGAAGGCGACCACCUGGACUGAUACUGACACUGGAGGUGCGAAAAGCGUGGGGAGCAAACAGG